AAGCAGGGUGUCGGGAGGCGGGGGGUGGGGUUUGGGGGGAACCCACCUAACUGACUCACUAAAUGAAGGUAAAGGGAUGUGGGUAGUGGGGGGAGCCGAGGGGCGACUUGAAAAUUAAACUGACCCCUCCUAAAUCCCAAGUAGAAGAGUCUAUGCACAUGAAAGAAACCAACACACAAAGAAAACUAAAGCGCUGAUCAAAGAACAAUAGGGCCCCCGCCAGGGCAGAGGUUCCCUAGGCAACGAGGGAGAGAGGGAGGGACCUCCAGAAGGGAGAGAGAGAAACCCGUUGCCCCAGGUUCGGUGAAGUCAGGGAGACCUCCCUCCGUGUGACCUCAACUUUCAAUAACAGUGGCCGCUAGGUGAUGCCCGAAGACAACCGAUGCCUGCAAAUGUCAGUCAGCACGGAAAAGAAUGUCCAAGGUACACCCCGGGAGACGGCAAGAGAAACGUUCACACCGUGCUUUCCGUCUUCGUGUUUAUCUCUUUCAUCUUUUCCAUUUUACGAGAGAUGCUCAUUUCAACAAGCAGACGGCGGAUGUGACGGGAGAAGUGUCAAGGCCAGGAGUUUGAGACCAGCGUGAGCAACAGAGCAACACAAGUAGGAGAGCCCAGCUGAAAGAAAUGAAAGAGGAGGAGGAGGAGGACAUGGGAGGCUGGGGGUGGGGGUAGGGGGGAGGAGAAGGAAAGAAAGAAAAGAAAAGAAAAGAAAAGAAAAGAAAAAGAAAAACAACCACCAAGAAAGUUAAAAUUCUCCAAUGGUCAGAAGUUCAAGACCAGCCUGACCAAGAUGGAGAAACCCCAUCUGUAC
rnacentral:lncRNA from 1 species